CCAGUGUGUUCCUUCCCGGCUGUUCAUCGCUGUAGUCAGCCCCUCGGAGCAUUUGGUAAGGCUCUUGGUCUUACAUUCUGAAGGCACCGCUGGGAUUCCUGGGUGUGCUUCAUUAGUCAGCUCCUCGGAGCGUUUGGUAAGGCUCUUGGUCUUACAUUCUGAAGGCACCGCUGGGAUUCCUGGGUGUGCUUCACUAGUCAGCUCCUCGGAGCGCUUGGUAAGGCCCUGGGUCUUACAGAUGAAGUCUCCACCGAGGCGGACGCAAGGUGAAGAAGGGGCUUCCGGGAGCUCGCGCCUCGCCCCGCCGAUCCCGGGCCCCCUGCGACCGGAAACAAGCCCAACCCGCCACGCCGCCGGGGAAUUCUGGGCCACGGCGGGAGGGCUUGUGACCGCACGAGGAGGAAACAGUCUUUUAAAAAAUAAAAACGUGACAACCAAACGGGACGGUUUGGUGCUAACUUCCUCUUGGACCAGUCACAAUCUAAUGACCACCUUUGUAAUCACACCUUACAUGCGCUUGUGUGACUUGUUCUCUGGCGUUUUGGCGCUUACUCAUUGCCACCUGCUGGAGAAGAAAAGAAGUGCAGUUGAACGCUUGCUGCCAGAUCAAACCUGUUCCUCCUCGAAGCUUUGGAAAGAAAUCAAAUCACUCUCAAAGAAGCGCCCUAACUGCUCCAGGUGAGGCAACUGGAGUGAUGCGUGGUGUGGCCCGGAGAAAAGUGGGUUCUAUGACCUUUCCAUGCUUAUUGUGCACCUGCAUUGCAUCCCUUUACUCCAAUUUGAUUUUUAAAAA
rnacentral:lncRNA from 1 species